CAAAAAUACACUUAUUCAUACACAACCACCCCCAUAAAGAAAGCCGCCCAUUUUCGAGACGGAGGACAAAUGGAGCCCUUGGACUAGCAAGAGGCAGAGGCCAAGCCUAGACAACUAAAGAUGACGUUGAGAAAAAAGUUUCUCUUUAUUACCAGAGAGAGAGAUAUUCAUUAGACGCAUAAAGAGAAUAAUAUUAAAUCCAGUAAAGCCAAAUUAAAGAAAGAAUCUCACCCAUCAUCCAGAUUCUAGACCAUCUCUCCAUGUGCAGCCUCAACAAGCCCAUCACCGCACCCGUCGGAGAAACAAGCUUCGAAGGUCGAAGGAUGCUUGUGUCCAGGCUUGCACGCCUAACGGUACUGGCUCAAUUCUUCUUACCCGACCCUUCCCAUGGGUCCCACCUCCCCCUCACCCAACACAUAUCCCCCACGUGUCCUCCAAAAUUUCCUCCUUGCUCCAUAGCUAUUGCUAACCCGCCAAAAUUCGUUUCCUAUAAACGCGGGGUCCGAACUAUAAGCAAAGCAGCCUCUAAACCUACUUCCGAUACCUUCCUUGAAAUGGAGCCACACUCUCUCGAUGCUCAGAAGCUCCGAUUUGACUUCCUUCAAGUCCUCCGUAGCCGGCGAUCCGCCGACGUUCCGCUAUCGGUAGAAAAUGGAAAACCGGUGGCGUCUCCGUUGUAUCAGGAUAAUACGCUACCAACGAGCAAGAGUGAGGCGAUGGAGUCUUGUCCUAAGG
rnacentral:misc_RNA from 1 species